UCCUAUUGAGAACAAUGCUACUUAAGUGUUACAAAGUGAGACUAUGAGACUAUUUUGCAUUAAUACAUCUUUUCCUGAAAGAUUAUGUGUGGCUUGACUUUGGUUUGGUAGGAAAAGUUCAGUUAACCCAGAAGAACACAUACAUCCAUUCACUAAUUUGUAGAUUUAGGUGCCCUUGACCAUACAGAAAACUUGUUUAUUCAGUUAGGACUCGAGUUACAGUUUGGUGUUUAUUUCUUGACUUUCAUGAACAGAUGGACUUAUUUUGAGUCAUUUGCCAAAUGGUCCAACUGCUCAUUUUAAAAUGAGUAGUGUUCGUCUUCGUAAAGAAAUUAAGCGACGAGGCAAAGACCCCACAGAACAUGUACCUGAGAUAAUUCUAAACAACUUUACCACACGGCUAGGUCACUCUAUCGGACGUAUGUUUGCUUCUCUCUUUCCUCAUAACCCUCAAUUUAUUGGAAGACAAGUUGCCACGUUCCACAAUCAGCGGGAUUACAUCUUCUUCAGGUUUCACAGAUACAUAUUCAAGAGUGAAAAGAAGGUGGGAAUUCAGGAACUUGGA
rnacentral:lncRNA from 1 species